rnacentral:rRNA from 1 species
UCCCUACGGGGCGCAGCAGGCGCGAAAACUUUACAAUGCGGGAAACCGUGAUAAGGGGACUCCGAGUGUCCGUCAUGCGGACUGUCCGUAUGUUUAAAAAGCAUGCGAAGAAAGGGCCGGGCAAGACCGGUGCCAGCCGCCGCGGUAAUACCGGCGGCUCGAGUGGUGGCCACGAUUACUGGGCUUAAAGCGUUCGUAGCUGGGUUGUUAAGUCUCUUGGGAAAUCUACCGGCUUAACCGAUAGGCGUCCAAGGGAUACUGGCAAUCUAGGA